CAGUAGCCACGGUAAUACAGAGGGUGCGAGCGUUAAUCGGAUUUACUGGGCGUAAAGCGUGCGUAGGCGGCUUCUUAAGUCGGAUGUGAAAUCCCUGAGCUUAACUUAGGAAUUGCAUUCGAUACUGGGAAGCUAGAGUAUGGGAGAGGAUGGUAGAAUUCCAGGUGUAGCGGUGAAAUGCGUAGAGAUCUGGAGGAAUACCGAUGGCGAAGGCAGCCAUCUGGCCUAAUACUGACGCUGAGGUACGAAAGCAUGGGGAGCAAACAGGAUUAGAUACCCGUGUAGUCCCUGUCUCUUAUAC
rnacentral:rRNA from 1 species